GUCGAUACUGUCAUAGUCAUUGUCAAGAUCUGUGUGCGAGAGAAUCGAGAAGACUGUUGCGAUCAUGGAGUACCAUACGAAGAGCAAACGUGGACGGAGAAGGAAGCAGGCCUGCCCAUACAAACGUGAGCGGAACACCAGCCACGUGCAGCCCCCCGACCACCUGGGGAACGCCCAGCCCCCCGACCACCUGGGGAACGCCCAGCCACCCGACCACCUGGGGAACGCCCAGCCCCCCGACCACCUGGGGAACGCCCAGCCCCCCGACCACCUGGGGAACGCCCAGCCCCCCGACCACCUGGGGAACGCCCAGCCACCCGACCACCUGGGGAACGCCCAGCCCCCCGACCACCUGGGGAACGCCCAGCCACCCGACCACCUGGGGAACGCCCAGCCCCCCGACCACCUGGGGAACGCCCAGCCCCCCGACCACCUUGGGAACGCCCAGCCCCCCGACCACCUGGGACGGAACACCAGGCACGUCCAGCCCUCCAAGAAGAAGAAGACACUCAGUGAGGACCUUAGCAAGCGCAAGGCCACCUUUCAGGUGCCAGUGACACCGGUAUCAUUCAUGAGCUGUGCGGAUCGUGUCAUACACCAGAUAGUCGACAAGAGCCAGGAGAUGAACACGUUCUCCAUGGGAAACAGCUGCGUGGAGUCACUGCUGAUGUACUACCACAACAUGAAAGACGACAUCAAAGCCCUUAAUAACAAGGUGGCCUCCCUGGUGAAGGGCAGCAACAAGAUCAUCCGCAAUUUCCCCAGCGCGUCCCAGACCAUCAGACGCAAGGUCGCAGAGAUCCAAGACAUUCUGGCUUACUUUCAGGAGCGCGCAGCGAAAAUGGAGUCCAGCAAGAGGAAGCGGCCAAGCACAACAGAUGCAUCAGAACUUCACUCAGCCAAGAGGCGAUGCACAGGGUCGGGAAACACCAGCAUACCUCCAGUGGCCAGCACACCUCCGGCGCUCAGCACACCUCCAGUGGCCAGCACACCUCCGGUGGCCAGCACACCUCCGGCGGCCAGCACACCUCCAGCGGCCAGCACACCUCCGGCGGCCAGCACCCCUCCGGCGGCCAGCACACCUCUGGUGGCCAGCACACCUCCGGCGGCCAGCACACCUCCGGCGGCCAGCACACCUCCAGUGGCCAGCACACCUCCAGUGGCCAGCACACCUCUGGCGGCCAGCACACCUCCGGCGGCCAGCACACCUCCAGUGGCCAGCACACCUCCGGCGGCCAGCACACCUCCAGUGGCCAGCACACCUCCGGCGGCCAGCACACCUCCAGUGGCCAGCACACCUCCGGCGGCCAGCACACCUCCAGUGGCCAACACACCUCCGGCGCCCAGCACACCUCCGGCGCCCAGCACACCUCCGGCGCCCAGCACCACCAGGCCACAGAAAGCGGCCAGCACACCUCCGGUGGCCAGCACACCUCCAGUGGCCAGCACACCUCUGGUGGCCAGCACACCUCCGGUGCCCAUCACACCUCCGGCGCCCAUCACACCUCCGGCGCCCAGCACACCUCCGGCGCCCAGCACCACCAGGCCACAGAAAGGCACAACAGGAAGGCUGGUAAGGCGUGUCUGGCCCAGAUAGCCACCUUGAAGCCAUGAAGAGUGGUGAAUUGGCUUCCUGCACUAUCUUCAGCAUAGAAAAGUUUAUGGUUAUCCCCACGACCCAUGAAAUAGGAACAACAUCACCACAUAUUCCAGCCGUGCCCCUCAUGCUGCGCAGGUUACAUAGCUCAGCCGGCUGGCUCGCAGCUCAGAAGCCGGUCACCUCAAGAAGAUCUGUGAGAGGGCGCAGCACACCAUAUAACCUGAGGCCUAAGAAGUAAGACCGAGGAGACUUCCAUAACUGUCACAAAGGUUGUGUUGACCCUACCUACCUGGUGACCUACCUGAGUACCUACCUCAGUAGGACCAUCAGGAAAGUAUCUGGUAUAAUGUAUGUGUAUGAAAGUUCUCCUGAUGCCUGGAGAGACUUGAGGCUAUGCAGGCAGGUAUAAGACUUAUAGUGGAAAGAAAAUAACAAAAAAAGUCAUAGUUUUGAAUUUAGACUGUUCCAAACUAAUAUGUAUACUUGUAAUUUGAAUUUUUAUUGUAAUAUGCAAAAAAUGCAUCAUGAUUAUAGCUUUAGGCUCCAAGCAGGUUUAAGACUGGUUGUGGAAAGGAAACAAAAAAGUCAUAGUAUUUAAAUUCAGACCAUCUAAAAUUAGUAUAUAUACAUGUAAUUUGAAUAUUCCUUGCUUUGUAAAAAAUGCAUCAUGAUAAUGGCUUAGAUUUAAGACUUCUUAUAGAAAGAAAACAAAACUAAUGCAGAGAAACAAGUGCAAAAAUUUUAAGAAUGAACCAUUUUAAUGUAAAUUCAAAUUGAACCCUCCAAAAAAAUCAGGACUAAAAGAUAUUAAUUUUGUCCUCACCAACAGUUUUAACAUUUAGCUGUUUUUGCAUCAUUCCUUGAAGUUUGCAAAUCCAGACUACAAAUUAAAGAUGCUGCACAUGUGCCUGUCCAAAUUUUACAACAUCAAAGCAGUAGAUCUAUGAAUGGAUUUUACAUUAAGAUUAGUAAUUCUGUUUAUAUAUACAUAUAGAUGCACCUUUUCACUCAACACAUGGAGAUACAGAAGGCCUCAUUAUCAUAAUAUAUACUAUUUUUAUACAUUGCAUUAUCUUGAAAGGAAUCUAUCAUUCCUUGUAGAGUGAAUGGUUGGGGUUUGAAGGAGUGUGCCCAUUAUACAAUGUACUUUUUGGUAAUCGAUAAACCUUGUCUUGUUUUUUCCAAACAAUGAACAUAAUUUCUGUUCUUGGACAAUGAUAUGUGGUGGUGGGGGGGAGCGUUUGAGACAUUUUGCACCUCUUGUCGUAAUGCCUAAAAAUUCCAGGUUUUCACUUUAAGCAGAGGAAAGUGAUCAUGGAGAAAUAUUUCUUUUUCCUUCAUAAUUAGAGCAAAAUGUGUCCCUUUGACAAUUUUUAUUUGGUGAGGGGACUGCACUAUUUCCCCCCUCGGCAUUAUUUACUGGUUAAUGUUGAAAUUUUUUCUUUUGUGCAUAAAUGCAUUGUUACAUUUGCGCACUCCAUUCGCCCACCCUCGCAUCAAUCAUUUACUGGUAAAACUUUCAAUUUUUUCUUUGACGCUUUAAUGUAAGGUUACAUUUACGCACUCCAUUUGCCCCCCUCGCAUCAAUCAUUUACUGGUAAAACUUUCAAUUUUUUCUUUGACGCCUUAAUGUAAGGUCACAUUUACGCACUGCAUUCUCCCACCCUCGCAUCAAUCAUUUACUGGUAAAACUUUCAAUUUUUUCUUUGACGCCUUAAUGUAAGGUCACAUUUACGCACUGCAUUCUCCCACCCUCGCAUCAAUCAUUUACUGGUAAAACUUUCAAUUUUUUCUUUGACGCUUUAAUGUAAGGUUACAUUUACGCACUCCAUUUGCCCCCCUCGCAUCAAUCAUUUACUGGUAAAACUUUCAAUUUUUUCUUUGACGCUUUAAUGUAAGGUCACAUUUACGCACUGCAUUCUCCCACCCUCGCAUCAAUCAUUUACUGGUAAAACUUUCAAUUUUUUCUUUGACGCCUUAAUGUAAGGUCACAUUUACGCACUGCAUUCUCCCACCCUCGCAUCAAUCAUUUACUGGUAAAACUUUCAAUUUUUUCUUUGACGCUUUAAUGUAAGGUUACAUUUACGCACUCCAUUUGCCCCCCUCGCAUCAAUCAUUUACUGGUAAAACUUUCAAUUUUUUCUUUGACGCUUUAAUGUAAGGUCACAUUUACGCACUGCAUUCUCCCACCCUCGCAUCAAUCAUUUACUGGUAAAACUUUCAAUUUUUUCUUUGACGCCUUAAUGUAAGGUUACAUUUACGCACUGCAUUCUCCCACCCUCGCAUCAAUCAUUUACUGGUAAAACUUUCAAUUUUUUCUUUGACGCUUUAAUGUAAGGUUACAUUUACGCACUCCAUUUGCCCCCCUCGCAUCAAUCAUUUACUGGUAAAACUUUCAAUUUUUUCUUUGACGCAUUAAUGUAAGGUUACAUUACUGUGCACUCUUUCCCCCACCUUCGGCAUCAAUCAUUUACUGGUAAAACUUGACAAUUUUUAUUUGGUCAGGGGAUAUUGAUGUUUCUUGGUCCUUAUUCCAAAGUCUUCAUCUUUGACAUCUUUAAGUUUUAGUCCUUGGAUACAAAGUCUAAGGAAAGGUUGGUGUUGCAGAUGUUUGGUGUUGCAGAUCUUUUGCUUUGAUACUCCUUGGACUCCCAACCUAACAUUAGUUAUUGCCAUAUAAUAUUGGACAAUAAUGAUUGGAGUGCUUGGAAAUGGAAUCUUUUGAUCUCGUGCUCCUCAUUCCAAAAUCCUUCAUCUCUCAUUGCCAUUAUCUCUCCCAAGAAGUUAGAGAUCAUUUUGUCCUUAGGAUCUUGACGAUGAUGGGGGAGGGGGUGUUGGAGAUAUUCUAUAUCUUUUGUUUAAUACUCCUUGAAUACAUAAGGAGGGGGAGGGGAAUGGCCGUUGCAGAUCCCAAAAAGCCAAUGACUGCUAUGUCUCUCUCUCUCUCUCUCUCUCUCUCUCUCUGUAUCUCUCUCUCUCUGUAUCGCUCUU